GCCAUCAUAGCUCAGUUGGUAGAGCGCACCCAUGGUAAGGGUGAGGUCAUGGGUUCAAAUCCCAUUGAUGGCUCCA
rnacentral:tRNA from 1 species